rnacentral:piRNA from 1 species
UAGGCCUGAGCUCAGAAAAGGGUGCAG